CAGUUAAGUGACCACGUGCACGUGUGAAACUACAUUUCAUUGUGACAUUUUUUGUGUGACCACGUAUGCUUGUGAAGCCAAUUAUGCUAAUUAAGUAAUCACGUCCACCUGUGAAACAACCCUUGAUCCACUCCUCCAUUUAAUUCAUUUAAAUUUCUUUUUGACCCACGAACCUUACCGUCAACUACUUAACUAAGAUCCAUCGCUUCAUCCCUCUGCUCACCCCGUUUAAUAAUUCAGACGCAUACACCUUUGAUGACACUUUUAUAACUACUACUACUCAAAUUUCUGAUAAUGGUUUAGGUUUUCCAACACCUAGUGUCUUGAGCUCUCUUUUUCUUAUUUAAAUAUUAAAAUUUAAAUUAGUGAAUUAGAUCCAUAACUAUUUUCCGUAAUGAUUUAAAUCCUUCAAUUUUCAUUUCAUCCAUAAAGGUUUUCCAAAAACACAUUCAGAUCAAUUUCACGGAAUGGCCUACAUUUGCUCUUGUAAAAUAACGUAUGGGGUCGCAUUUCCAAUAUGUUAGUAUAGCAGUGAAUCCGGUUAAUUGGAAAUGGUUUUUGUCCAAUUAUGAAUAAGUGGUUGACUUAUAAAUACAUAUUGUAAAAUGGUAAA